GGCCUAACACAUGCAAGUCGAACGAUGAAGCCCUUCGGGGUGGAUUAGUGGCGAACGGGUGAGUAACACGUGGGCAAUCUGCCCUGCACUCUGGGACAAGCCCUGGAAACGGGGUCUAAUACCGGAUAACACCCCCUCUCGCAUGGGAGGGGGUUGAAAGCUCCGGCGGUGCAGGAUGAGCCCGCGGCCUAUCAGCUUGUUGGUGAGGUAGAAGCUCACCAAGGCGACGACGGGUAGCCGGCCUGAGAGGGCGACCGGCCACACUGGGACUGAGACACGGCCCAGACUCCUACGGGAGGCAGCAGUGGGGAAUAUUGCACAAUGGGCGAAAGCCUGAUGCAGCGACGCCGCGUGAGGGAUGACGGCCUUCGGGUUGUAAACCUCUUUCAGCAGGGAAGAAGCGAAAGUGACGGUACCUGCAGAAGAAGCGCCGGCUAACUACGUGCCAGCAGCCGCGGUAAUACGUAGGGCGCAAGCGUUGUCCGGAAUUAUUGGGCGUAAAGAGCUCGUAGGCGGCUUGUCACGUCGGUUGUGAAAGCCCGGGGCUUAACCCCGGGUCUGCAGUCGAUACGGGCAGGCUAGAGUGUGGUAGGGGAGAUCGGAAUUCCUGGUGUAGCGGUGAAAUGCGCAGAUAUCAGGAGGAACACCGGUGGCGAAGGCGGAUCUCUGGGCCAUUACUGACGCUGAGGAGCGAAAGCGUGGGGAGCGAACAGGAUUAGAUACCCUGGUAGUCCACGCCGUAAACGGUGGGAACUAGGUGUUGGCGACAUUCCACGUCGUCGGUGCC
rnacentral:rRNA from 1 species